rfam:Oryza sativa Japonica Group DNA, chromosome 5, cultivar: Nipponbare, complete sequence.
AAUAUUUGAAUCCAUGUACCUAAGAACUCAAUGUUGUGACCGUUGGUCUUAUUUGAAAAAAAAUUAUGAUUAAUAUUUUUAUUGUUAUUAGAUGAUAAAACAUGAAUAAUACUUUAUGUGUGACUUUUUUUAAAAAAAAAUCAUAAAAUUUCCAAAUAAGACGUCAAACGUUGGACACAUAUGCCUACGGCUUCACUUAUU